AUGUCACUUGUAGCCAAGCCUUGCAUAAGAAUCACAAGCAAUGGCAGGCCAAAAUAUAAGAAGUUUUCGGCUACGAAGACAACGAGAGCUCAAGCGAUUGCAGAACCCGAAGUAUCAAAACCACUAGUACUGCAUAGACCAACAGAAAAAGGCAUUCCCCAAGCUGAUCAACGAGUACGUGAAAUCGUGGAAAAACAAUCUCAGAGGAGCAGCACAGCCAAGGAAGAUGCCUGUUCUAGUCCACAGUUUCAUCCUAUGUUUCUUGAUGAAGCUUAUGAAAGAUGUAGAAUCAUUUGUGCAGAAUAUGCCAAGACAUUCUAUUUAGGAACUUCGCUGAUGACAGAAGAAAGACAGAGAGCUAUAUGGGCAAUUUAUGUUUGGUGCAGAGAACGGAUGAACUAGUAGAUGGGCCCAAAUGCAGAUUACUUAAGCUCUGCAGUCUCAUCGAUGGGAAGAAAGACUCGAAGAUAUCUUCAACGGACGCCAUAUGACAUUCUUGAUGUUGCAUUAACAGACACUGUCUUCAAGUUUCCUUUAGAUAUUAAGCCAUUUAAGGAUAUGCUAGAAGGAAUGAGAAUGGAUACAUGGAAAAGCCGGUACAACAACUUUCAGGAGCUGUAUCUAUACUGCUACUACGUUGCAGGAACUGUUGGAUUAAUGAGUGUUCCAAUCAUGGGAAUAGCAGAAGAAUCCAAACUUCCUGCUCAAUCUGUAUACAAUUCAGCACUCUAUUUGGGAAUCGGAAAUCAACUUACUAAUAUUCUUAGAGAUGUUGGAGAGGAUGCAUCAAGAGGGAGAAUUUAUCUUCCACAAGAUGAGCUUGCACAGUUUGGACUAUGCGAUGAAGAUGUGUUCGGAAUAAAGGUUAGUGAUAGAUGGAGAGAGUUCAUGAAAGAGCAGAUUAAAAGAGCAAGAUUCUACUUCAAACUCGCAGAGGAUGGAGCUUCACAGCUUCACAAGGCUAGCCGCUGGCCGGUAUGGUCAUCAUUAUUACUGUACAAGAAAAUACUGGAUGCAAUUGAGGAUAACGGAUAUGAUAACUUGACAAGAAGAGCUUGUGUUGGAAAGACAGAGAAGCUGCUAAUGCUGCCAUUAGCAUACACCAGAGCUUUCCCAGCCCCCACUCUGUUUUGA